rnacentral:rRNA from 1 species
UACGUAGGGUGCAAGCGUUAAUCGGAAUUACUGGGCGUAAAGCGUGCGCAGGCGGUUCUAUAAGACAGAUGUGAAAUCCCCGGGCUCAACCUGGGAACUGCAUUUGUGACUGUAGAGCUGGAGUACGGCAGAGGGGGAUGGAAUUCCGCGUGUAGCAGUGAAAUGCGUAGAUAUGCGGAGGAACACGAUGGCGAAGGCAAUCCCCUGGACCUGUACUGACGCUCAUGCACGAAAGCGUGGGGAGCAAACAGG